GACCAACGCAGUGGGUGCUCUGGCCAAGGCUGUCUAUGAGAAGAUGUUCCUGUGGAUGGUCACCCGCAUCAACCAGCAGCUGGACACCAAGCAGCCCAGGCAGUACUUCAUCGGGGUCUUGGACAUCGCUGGCUUUGAGAUCUUUGAUUUCAACAGCCUGGAGCAGCUGUGCAUCAACUUCACCAACGAGAAGCUGCAACAGUUUUUCAACCACCACAUGUUUGUGCUGGAGCAGGAGGAGUACAAGAAGGAAGGCAUCGAGUGGACAUUCAUCGACUUCGGGAUGGACCUGGCUGCCUGCAUCGAGCUCAUCGAGAAGCCCAUGGGCAUCUUCUCCAUCCUGGAGGAGGAAUGCAUGUUUCCCAAGGCAACAGACACCUCCUUCAAGAACAAGCUGUAUGACCAGCACCUGGGCAAGUCCAACAACUUCCAGAAGCCCAAGCCGGCCAAAGGGAAGGCUGAGGCCCACUUUCGCUGGUGCAUUAUGCUGGCACCGUGGACUACAACAUUGCCGGCUGGCUGGACA
rnacentral:lncRNA from 1 species